GUAACACGUAGUCAACAUGCCCAGGGGACGUGGAUAACCUCGGGAAACUGAGGAUAAACCGCGAUAAGUCACUACUUCUGGAAUGGGUAAUGACUAAAACCUAUAUGGCCCCUGGAUUGGACUGCGGCCGAUCAGGCUGUUGGUGAGGUAAUGGCCCACCAAACCUGUAACCGGUACGGGCUCUGAGAGGAGGAGCCCGGAGAUGGCCACUGAGACAAGGGCCCAGGCCCUAUGGGGCGCAGCAGGCGCGAAACCUCUGCAAUAGGCGAAAGCCUGACAGGGUUACUCUGAGUGAUUUCCGUUAAGGAGAUCUUUUGGCACCUCUAAAAAUGGUGCAGAAUAAGGGGUGGGCAAGUCUGGUGUCAGCCGCCGCGGUAAUACCAGCACCCCGAGUGGUCGGGACGUUUAUUGGGCCUAAAGCAUCCGUAGCCGGUUCUACAAGUCUUCCGUUAAAUCCACCUGCUUAACAGAUGGGCUGCGGAAGAUACUAUGGAGCU
rnacentral:rRNA from 1 species